UAAAUAAAGGACACUGGAUAUUGCACAAAUGAAGAUGGUGCAAGGAUAAAGUUGCUACCAGAUGAUACAGUGUAUUCUAUAUCCUACAUUCUAUAUUGUACAGUUCUUUCUAUCGAUUUGUAUUUAACUUGUAUUUUGUGUCCC